UUGUAUUUUUGUAAACUCAUUUGUAUCGAAUUCGAUACAAUUGUAUCGACUUUUCCAUGCCUUGUUAUUCUUAUUUCAUUUGUACAUUAUAUACAAAAUGUGUAUUGGGAAUAUUCCUUACAAUAAAAAGAGAUAUGUAAGAUAAAUUUAUAACUUGUGCGAGAGUAAUUAUUGCACCUUAAAUUGGUUUAAAGGAGUAUUAAGAUUAAUAUACAGGACUAGCUGACCGGGGCGGCGGACUUCGUUCCGCCUUUUCUAGUAUUUAUUUCCAAUUUUUGGCUUUGUAAUGUGUUAACCUUUUUCAAUACAAAACAAAAUCGGGCCACAACUUGAUAUGUGGAACACAAAUAUAAAACUGUAUAAAGUAUUAAAAAAGCAAAUCAUUUGUUUGACAGCUAUUAUAAAUUUUAAUUGGAAUGUGUAAGAAGUUUCCAGGGCCGGUUUUAGGGGGAGGGGCAGCCUGGGCCGACGCCCAAGGGCGCAAGAAUUGAGGGGCGCACACAGGUAAAUUUUCCCAAAUUCAUGGCCAAAACUUCAAAAAAAAUUAUUUGCGAUUUGUUGUUUUUUUUAAUACCAAGUUGUUUACAAAUAACAUAAGCUUAGAACCUGAUUGAUCAUCGAUGCAAAUUGUAACUGUUUAAUCAGUAGAUGCUUUCAAAGUCGAAAAUCGUCAAUAUGUUGUAAUUUCAUGUUUUUUUUACUCACUCUUUUUUUGAGGAAGCGGCAGUCAAAGCAUCCACAAUUUAUUUUUAUUAUUUUUUUUUUCAUUAUAUUUCAAAUCAGUUUCAAAAAAUAUAUAUAUAUUUUUGAUCACAGUAUUUUUAAUAUAAAUUGUUGAAAAAGUGUCUAUUUUAGCUUUUUUUACUUUGAAAAUUCCAUUAAUCACGCACACAUACAAACCUAGUUCAAGCUGGCGCUGAUGAACUCUUUCUUUCUGUUCUUUUCUAUUUAUUGAAAAAAAAACUUGCUCUUGCACUCUCAUUUUCUCGUUAUAUUUUGUUUUUUUUUUUUGUGUUUACAUAAUACUUUUUUUUUGUUUCCUAUUUUCUCACUCAGGCAGGCAGAAAUCAUUCAUGAAAUCAUAGAGGAAGGAAUACCUUCCUCUAUGCAUGAAAUUAUGAAGAUGCUGCAGAGAAUAGGUAGAUAGUAGAUAUUUUUUGUUUUUCAAAGAGGGUUGUUUUGUUCUUGUUGACUCUUGGGUUUUUCCUAACAAUUCAUUUCGUGUUUAUAAUAUCGCACUCGCGCGUGCGAGUGUGUCAGCGAAAUUCUUUGCAUUGUGUAAUAUUCACAUCGCUCGUGCGGGGAUAUAGGUAAAGGAUUAGAUAUGUGGGUACAUGUGUAAGUAUGCACUUGUUUGUGUGUAAAAAUGUGUAUUGACAUUUGACAUGUACACAAUAAUUGAUUUCCAUAUUUAGGUUGAUUUCUGGAUUCUGGGUUGUAUUGUUUAUUAUACUACACUCGCGCGUGCGUACGGGGUUAUAUAUAAUAUAAAUAUGUCCUUUUGUUUUUCAUUUUCUUUGUUUAUAUGUUGUGGAUUCGGUUGUUUUUUUAAGUAUAAGGGUUAUAUACCUGAGUGUAUUUGUGGUUAGAAUGCACUUGAUGGUAUUUAUAGAAAUAGUUUUGCAAUGGAUUUUCAAUUCAGUGUCUUCUUUGUUUUUGAAUGAAGAAGAAGCUAUCAAAAUUUAUUCUCGGCUAAGUAUUUAGUCUAAUCCGAAUGCGGCCUAAGUUUCAAAAAAUAAGUUCAGGAGAAACUUUUUGCGGCAUUCUCCAUGAUCAUAUUGUCAUACAAGAUUUAUCUCGAGUCCAUCCUAAAACAACAUACACAUAAGAACCUAAACAUUCUAUAGGUAUAUUUUAUGUACCUAAAUACAUUUUCAUGUCAGCCGGCACGCGCUAGUCCUAGACAAAAAAAUUCUCAACGAAGAACAACUCAAAAGUGAGGAAGAACCUGCAAAUCAAUCCUUCUGCGCAUCUACUCAUAUUUUUAUACACACUACCCUUCAAGCAAGAAAACGGAGUCCAGAAAAGACAGUCCGACCUCCGACCGAGAAAAGCGGGGUUGCACUCACACACUUGCAACUUUUUGUGUAUGAACACAAAGUCGAACGAGAAUCGUGGUGGAAAGUGAGAAAUGGAAAAAAAAGUGAAACAGACAUAGCCAACAAGAGCAAAAGCGUCAUUUUGUUAUGUUUCGUUGAAGUGUAUAGUCGCGUCGCGUCGUGUCUCGUGUCGUUGUUAUCAUAAUAUUAGUAUAAUUAUAAACAAUAUCAAAUUAUAAACAAUAUGGAAACAAAAAAGAUGUAAUCUCUAAUGAUGAAGAAAAAUCUAGAAGGUGAAACAUGCGAUUGGGUAUCUAAAAAAACACCAACAACAGCAGCAGCAUCAAAUGAAAUAAAAUGAAAAAAAAUGUAUUGUAUUUUAUAUU